UGAUACGAAGGUCUUUUAAAACUGUUGGGUGGAAAAUCCUAUCGUUCUGCAGAGCAAGGGGCAUCAUCGUUUGGAAGAGGGGCCUGGAGCCCCAGGCAGCUGGCGGUGCCCAGCUCCUGUUUCUGAAGGAGUGGGGCCUCUCUCCCUGUGGUGUCGGGUUGCAUCGAUUAAACUCCAGAUUCCACCAGCCCAAAAUAGUUCCAGGAUGGUGCUCCUGAGGGCAGCUGACAAGGGUUCAGAUUGUCCAAAGCCCUACCAAUACAAGAGAAGAACCUUCAGACAGGAGCCAAGGCUUAAGAGCGCUGUUGGGUGGGAGACGUGGCAGAAAUAACAGUGCUUCCACAACAGUUACUAAAUAUAGCAUAAGGAUGUACUACAUACCACUGUUAAUACUUAGGAAAUUAUUGGUUUGGUUCUCUGUUGUUAAGUAGCAAUUAAAAAGCUAAAAGCACAAACCAAAAAAUUUCCAAAUGUUAGCUCAAGCCAUAGUAGCUUUUUAAGUUUGCAUUUUCCAAGCUGUGUUUUCUUAAAUCCUAGUUCUGUAGAAGAAACACUCCAGACAAUGAGCUCAUGGUCAAGUAAAUUUGGAAACCAGGUUGAUUCCAGUUGGUGGGUUUCUUCACUGCAGGAUUCCUGGGGCCUUUAAUAUGCUGAUGUACUUUUGAAGGAGGGUGUAUGGUCUGCGGCCCCUCUGUUCUGUGAACCUGCCCAUGACUGAACGGAGUGCCACGGUUGGGGAAAUGCAGUUGUUACUAUUAAUCGGCACCUUGUUUGGCAUUCUAAGCAGCAAACAGAUGCCUGGUGAGAAGUGAUGGCAUACAUCCAUAAUGAACAAUGGAGUUAAAUAUUCUUUAUAUGGCCAGGGAGGGGAUCAGAAGCCAUGCGGAUCUAGAGUCUGACUGAGAGGGAGCGGUUACAGGUCAUCUUUGUCACAAGGAGCUCUUUUACCCAUUUCUAAGGAAGUUAACCCUUUAUCAGAAGGGUGGCCUCCCCGGGGUAGCUACCUUGAGAGAUGCUGCUGAUUCUUCUCAGGACCUAUGCCCACCCCGCCUCUCUUUGCUUCUAGACCUAUAACCAGACUCAAGUCCCAGCAGGCCUCAAGGAGUGAACAGCUUUUUGCUACACCCCGGAAGAGCUGCAUGAUUUUUCCAAUUUAUACAGACAGAUCUGGGGAGAUUGAAGGUUUGUGGUGACCGCUGCGCUGAGCAAGUCUAUCAGGACCGUUCUUCCAGCAGCAUUUGCUCACUUCGUGUCUCUGUGUCAGAUGUUGGUGAUUCUCUCAAUAUUUCAAAUCCUCCACCAGCAAAAAAGUGAUGACUCGCUGAAGGCUCAGAUGGCGAUGAGCGUUCUUUAGCAACACAGUAUUUUUAAAUUAAGUGGCCUGGAACCGAACCCGCGGUAUCUCCGAGGUGUGCCUGUACUUAGCAACGGGCAGAAUCCCCACAUUGGUUCCCUCACGUGUGGAGUGAGGCCUAUUAUGGUAGGAAAACCAAGUGGAAGUCUCGAGAACUGCCUCUACCUAGGAAAAUGGUAAAUGAAAAACAAUACUGCAUCCCUGGAGGGACUACAGAGAUCAUUGCCACCAUCAAGGACUAGAGAGAUGCAGGAGUGGUGACUCCCACGUCUCCAACCCCCAUCCUGUCUGUGCAGAAGACAGAUGGAUGACAGUGGAUGAUCAUAAACUGACGAUUGGAGGUGGUGGCUCCAAUUGCAGCUGCUCUUCCAGAUGUGGUUUCAUUACUUGAGCAAAUUAACACAUCCCCUGGUUCCUGGUUUGCAGCUACUGAUCUGCAAGUGCUCUUUUCUCAAUACCUGUUAGCAAAGACCACGAAAAGCAGUCUGCUUUCAGCUGGCCAGACCAGCAAUACACCUUCACUGUCCUGCCUCGGGUAGAUCAACUCUCCAGCCUGAUGUCAUUAUAAUUUGGUCUGCAGGUAUCUUGAUCACUUUUCCCUUCCACAAAAUAUCCCACAGGUUUAACAUCGAUGAUACAUGCGGAUUCCAUCUAGAGAACAAGAAGUAGUAACUAUAGAUAUGCUGGUAAGACAUUUGCAUUGUCGAUGGUGGGAAAUAAAUUUCACCAAAAGUCAGGGGCCUUCCACCUCAGUGAAAUUUCUAGCGAUGCCCUGGUUGGGUGCGUGUCAAGAUAUCUAUUUUUUCAGUGAAGGAUAAGUUAUUACAUCUGGCCCCUCCUACAGCCAAAAAACCAGGCACAACACCUAGUUGGCCUCUCUGAAUAUUGGACCUCUCUGGGUGUGUCACUCUGGCCCAUUUACCAAGUGACCUGAAAAGCUGCUUGUUUUGAGUGGGGCCCAGAACAAGAGAAAGAUUUGCACCAGGUCCAGGCUGCUGUGUGCGCUGCUCUGCCACUUGGGCCACAGGAUCCAGCAGAUCUCCUGGUGCUUGAAGAGACGGGGGCAGGCAGGGAUGCUGUCUGGAGCUUGCGGCAGGUCCCUACCGGUGAAUCACAGUGGAGGCCCUUAGGAUUCAGGGGCAAAGUCCUGCCAUCCUCUGCAGAUAAUCCCUUUCCUUCUGAGUAACUACUGAGCCAUUGGAUUUACAUCUGCAAAGACUCUAUUUCCAAAUAAGGUCACAUUCCAGGGUUCUGGAUGGACAUGAACCAGGGGGGACGCAAUUCACCCCACAAGAGAGAGAAGUGCUUUCCGGAGACACAACAUUGAUGUCAUUGAACUGGAAGUUCAGACGGCUGCCAGCCACUUUGGGCUCCUCAAGCCUCCAAGUCAUCAGGCAGAGAAGGGAGUUAUCCUGUUGGUUGGGGUGACUGACCCUGACUACCAAGAGAAAAUCGGGCUGCUACUAUACAAUCAAGGAAGAAGAUGUGCGGAACACAGGAGAUCCCUAAGGCUACCCUGCCUUAAAGUCGAUGGAAAAUGCAAUUAAGGCAGGACUACUAAUGGCCCUGACUCUUCAGGAAUGAAGGUUUGGGUCACCCCAGCAACCAUGACCAGCUGAGAUGCUUGCUGAGGGUGUGGAAUGGGUAGUGGAAGAAAGUAGUUGUAAAGACCAGCUACAUCUAUGUGACCAGUUGCAGAAAUGAGGCCUGUAAUUAUCAUGAAUUAUCUUGUAAUUUUCAUGUAAUUCAUCAUCUUGUUGUGCUGUUUGUAUCUUCGUACACAAACUUGUAUAGAUAUAUAGUAAGUAUAAAAUAAAUCUUUUUGUCUUCUUC